AGAGUUUGAUCCUGGCUCAGAUUGAACGCUGGCGGAAUGCUUUACACAUGCAAGUCGAACGGCAGCACGGACUUCGGUCUGGUGGCGAGUGGCGAACGGGUGAGUAAUAUAUCGGAACGUAUCCAAUAAUGGGGGAUAACUAAUCGAAAGGUUGGCUAAUACCGCAUACGCCCUACGGGGGAAAGCUAGGGACCUUCGGGCCUGGCGUUAAUGGAGCGGCCGAUAUCUGAUUAGCUAGUUGGUGAGGUAAAGGCUCACCAAGGCGACGAUCAGUAGCUGGUCUGAGAGGACGACCAGCCACACUGGAACUGAGACACGGUCCAGACUCCUACGGGAGGCAGCAGUGGGGAAUUUUGGACAAUGGGCGAAAGCCUGAUCCAGCCAUUCCGCGUGAGUGAAGAAGGCCUUCGGGUUGUAAAGCUCUUUCGCAAGGGAAGAAAGAUUAUCCUCUAACAUAGGAUGAUUAUGACGGUACCUUGAUAAGAAGCACCGGCUAACUACGUGCCAGCAGCCGCGGUAAUACAGAGGGUGCGAGCGUUAAUCGGAAUUACUGGGCGUAAAGCGUGCGUANACGGUUAUUUAAGUCGGGUGUGAAAGCCCCGGGCUCNNCCUGGGAAUUGCAUUCGAGACUGANUAGCUAGGUACGGUAGAGGGAAGUGGANUUCCGGUGUAGCGGUGAAAUGCGUAGAUAUCGGAAGGAGCAUCANUGGCNAAAC
rnacentral:rRNA from 1 species